ACUCGGGCACCGCAGGUAGGGCAGGAGGCUGGAGAGCCUGCUGCCCGCCCGCCCGUAAAAUGGUCCCCUCGGCUGGACAGCUCGCCCUGUUCGCUCUGGGUAUCGUGUUGGCUGCGUGCCAGGCCUUGGAGAACAGCACGUCCCCGCUGAGUGCAGACCCGCCCGUGGCUGCAGCAGUGGUGUCCCAUUUUAAUGACUGCCCAGAUUCCCACACUCAGUUCUGCUUCCAUGGAACCUGCAGGUUUUUGGUGCAGGAGGACAAGCCAGCAUGUGUAUUCCCCACACCAUUGGUCUGCUGCCUGCAGAAGCCUUCAAACAAAGGAAAACCGUUGAAGGAAGCCACCCAGCUGCCAUUCUGGGUACGUUGGUGCACGCUGUGAGCAUGCGGACCUCCUGGCCGUGGUGGCUGCCAGCCAGAAGAAGCAGGCCAUCACCGCCUUGGUGGUGGUCUCCAUCGUGGCCCUGGCUGU
rnacentral:sRNA from 1 species